UUCAGCAACGUCACAGUUCCGGCUUCCAUAACAAUCCUCCGGAAUCUGCCCCCAGAAAUAAACAUGGAAAAGAGUCAGAGGGUAGGGGUGACAGCAGGAGAGACAGAGAGAGAGCUGGAGAGAUACAGAGAGAGACACACAGAAAGACAGACACACGCACAAAUAGAUAGAGAGAGAGACACACACAGAAAGAGAGAGACACACACGCACAGACAGAGAGAGACACACAAAUAGACACACACAUACAAAAAAAAUAGGUUAGUGUUGAGCUAGUAACCAGUAGGUAGCCUAGUGGUUAGAGAGUUGGGCCAGUAACCAGUAGGUAGUCUAGUGGUUAGAGAGUUGAGCUAGUAACCAGUAGGUAGCCUAGUGGUUAGAGAGUUGGGCCAGUAACCAGUAGGUAGCCUAGUGGUUAGAGUUGAGCCAGUAACCAGCAGGUAGCCUAGUGGUUAGAGAGUUGGGCCAGUAACCAGUAGGUAGCCUAGUGGUUAGAGAGUUGGGCCAGUAACCAGUAGGUAGCCUAGUGGUUAGAGAGUUGGGCCAGUAACCAGUAGGUAGUCUAGUGGUUAGAGAGUUGGGCCAGUAACCAGCAGGUAGUCUAGUGGUUAGAGAGUUGGGCCAGUAACCAGUAGGUAGUCUAGUGGUUAGAGAGUUGGGCCAGUAACCAGCAGGUAGUCUAGUGGUUAGAGCGUUGGGCCAGUAACCAGCAGGUAGUCUAGUGGUUAGAGAGUUGGGCCAGUAACCAGCAGGUAGUCUAGUGGUUAGAGUUGAGCCAGUAACCAGUAGGUAGUCUAGUGGUUAGAGAGUUGGGCCAGUAACCAGUAGGUAGCCUAGUGGUUAGAGAGUUGAGCCAGUAACCAGUAGGUAGUCUAGUGGUUAGAGUUGAGCCAGUAACCAGUAGGUAGUCUAGUGGUUAGAGAGUUGGGCCAGUAACCAGUAGGUAGUCUAGUGGUUAGAGAGUUGGGCCAGUAAACAGUAGGUAGUCUAGUGGUUAGAGUGUUGAGCCCGUAAACGAAAUGUUGCUGGUUCAAAAACACAAGCUGACAAGGUGAUUGUUUUUCCCAAUGUGCCCUUGAGCAAGGCACUUUAACACCACACUGCACCUGUCUGGUGAAUGUGAA